rnacentral:rRNA from 1 species
CAGUAGCCGCGGGAAAACGAGGGGAGCUAGCGUUGUUUGGAAUUACUGGGCGUAAAGCGCGCGUAGGCGGCUUUUUAAGUCAGAGGUGAAAGCCCGGGGCUCAACCCCGGAAUUGCCUUUGAAACUGGAAAGCUAGAAUCUUGGAGAGGUCAGUGGAAUUCCGAGUGUAGAGGUGAAAUUCGUAGAUAUUCGGAAGAACACCAGUGGCGAAGGCGACUGACUGGACAAGUAUUGACGCUGAGGUGCGAAAGCGUGGGGAGCAAACAGGAUUAGAUACCCCUGUAGUCCCUGUCUCUUAUAC